AGGGUUAAGCAUCUCUCUAUGAAUUCCACCAUUUGUAUGAAAAAAAAAUCUUAUAUCUCCUUGCUAUAUUCGAAGCAAAAACUCUUAAUCUGAGGAAUAUAUAAUUCAAUGGCAGAUCUCUAUUACGGUUCGGAUGCUCAACAGCCAGACCGCCCCUGGUACGAUCUUAUCCCAUAUCAGCAGUAGCAAUUUUGGUAAGUCCUCGUCAUGCGAGGACCAAAGUCAGCUUUUCAUUUCACUAUUCCUUUGUCGUUUUCAGUUUUCUGACAGAUAGAGUUAGUUGGGGGCUUGUCCCAACAACUCAUGUUGCUUUUCAGACAUAUAGUUAGUUGUUCAACUUUUAAUCUUAUACUUGUUUAGUGAUGAUUUUAUUUUAUUUUAUUUGAAUAUUUAUCAUAUUAUUUAGGUUCA